rnacentral:rRNA from 1 species
UACACACCGCCCGUCACACCAUGGGAGCGGGUACUGCCAGAAGUAGUUAGCUUAACCGCAAGGGGGGCGCUUGCCACGGUGUGGCCGAUGACUGGGGUG